rnacentral:rRNA from 1 species
GCAAGUCGAACGAAGUAGCAAUACUUAGUGGCAGACGGGUGAGUAACAUGUGGGUAUCUUCCCUAUGGUGAGGAAUAACACGAGGAAACUUGUGCUAAUACCUCAUAGGUCUUUACGGAGAAAGCUUUAUGCGCCAUUGGAUGAGCCCGCACUUGAUUAGUUUGUUGGUGGGGUAAUGGCUUACCAAGACUGUGAUCAAUAGCUGAUUUGAGAGGAUGAUCAGCCACAUUGGGACUGAGACACGGCCCAAACUCCUACGGGAGGCAGCAGUAAGGAAUCUUGCACAAUGGAGGAAACUCUGAUGCAGCGAUGCCGCGUGAGUGAAGAAGGCCCUUGGGUUGUAAAGCUCUUUCGUCGGGGAAGAGAAUGACUGUACCCGAAUAAGAAGGUCCGGCUAACUUCGUGCCAGCAGCCGCGGUAAUACGAAGGGACCUAGCGUAGUUCGGAAUUACUGGGCUUAAAGAGUUCGUAGGUGGUUAAAAAAGUUGGUGGUGAAAUCCCAGAGCUUAACUCUGGAACUGCCAUCAAAACUUUUUAGCUAGAGUAUGAUAGAGGAAAGCAGAAUUUCUAGUGUAGAGGUGAAAUUCGUAGAUAUUAGAAAGAAUACCAAUUGCGAAGGCAGCUUUCUGGAUCAUUACUGACACUGAGGAACGAAAGCAUGGGUAACGAAGAGGAUUAGAUACCCUCGUAGUCCAUGCCGUAAACGAUGUGUGUUAGACGUUGGAAAUUUAUUUUCAGUGUCGCAGUGAAAGCGAUAAACACACCGCCUGGGGAGUACGACCGCAAGGUUAAAACUCAAAUGAAUUGACGGGGACCCGCACAAGUAGUGGAGCAUGUGGUUUAGUUCGAAGAUACGCGCAGAACCUUACCAACACUUGACAUGUUCGUCGCGACUUUAAGAGAUUAAAGUUUUCGGUUCGGCCGGACGAAACACAGG